rnacentral:rRNA from 1 species
AAUUAAAAAGCUCGUAGUUGGAUUUCUGUAGUGGGAUGCCGGCCGGGUUCUCUGAACUUGUAGCUAGGUUAUCUUGCUGCAUCUUGUCGUAAUUCUCACUGGCAUUCAUUUGUUGGUGUAGAGGACCGACUCGUUUACUUUGAGAAAAUUAGAGUGUUUAAAGCAGGCUAUAGCUUUGAAUAUGUUAGCAUGGAAUAAUAAUAUAGGACUUUACGUUCUAUUUUGUUGGUUGUUCGAGGACGUAAGUAAUGAUUGAUAGGGACAGUUGGGGGCAUCAGUAUUCUGAAGCGAGAGGUGAAAUUCUUGGACCUUCGGAAGACUAACAACUGCGAAAGCAUUUGCCUAGGAUGUUCUCUUUAAUCAAGAACGAGGGUUGGGGGAUCGAAGACGAUCAGAUACCGUCGUAGUCUCAACUAUAAACUAUGCCAACUAGGGAUGGGGCAAUGUUUAAUUACGACUUGCUCCGCACCUUAUGAGAAAUCAAAGUAUUUGGGUUCCGGGGGGAGUAUGGUCGCAAGGCUGAAACUUAAAGGAAUUGACGGGAGGGCACCACCAGGAGUGGAGCCUGUGGCUUAAUUUGACUCAACAC